GCACACGCUGUAAAUGACGAUAAACCAAAC
rnacentral:piRNA from 1 species